rnacentral:rRNA from 1 species
UACGAAAGGUGCUAGCGUUGUUCGGAAUUACUGGGCGUAAAGCGCACGUAGGCGGCCUUGUAAGUUGGGGGUGAAAUCCCGGAGCUCAACUCCGGAACUGCCUCCAAAACUACGAAGCUCGAGGAUGCGAGAGGAUAGUGGAAUUCCGAGUGUAGAGGUGAAAUUCGUAGAUAUUCGGAAGAACACCAGUGGCGAAUGCGACUGUCUGGCGCUUUUCUGACGCUGAGGUGCGAAAGCGUGGGGAGCAAACAGG